CAGCAUUCCAAUGUGUCGCAUCAUUAUCACAACAGGCAGAGUUUUGAAAGGACUUUGAUGGAUGCAGCUCACCAGAGUCCCUAAUGAAGAGGCACCCGUCUCCAUCAGGCUGUCAGAACGCACUGUCGCUACACUCGGGAGACAUCCGAGACCAUGCCCAACUGCUAUGGGAGGCAUGCAUGGGCUAGAAUGCUCACAUCCGCUGCCCUCUUAGGCACCAAUGCAGGGCCAGAUGGGGAAACUGAGGCACAGGGAGGCGACAAGAAUGGCACAAGGUUACCUAGAGACUCUGAAGCAGAUUCAGGAAGGCAAUCCAGAUCGAC